rnacentral:rRNA from 1 species
AAUGAACGCUGGCGGUAUGCUUAACACAUGCAAGUCGAACGAAGCACUUCGGUGCUUAGUGGCGGACGGGUGAGUAACGCGUGAGAACCUGCCUUCAGGAUGGGGACAACAGUUGGAAACGACUGCUAAUACCCGAUAGGCCGCAAGGUAAAGAUUUAUCGCCUGAAGAGGGGCUCGCGUCCGAUUAGCUAGUUGGUGGGGUAAAGGCUUACCAAGGCAGCGAUCGGUAGCUGGUCUGAGAGGACGAGCAGCCACACUGGGACUGAGACACGGCCCAGACUCCUACGGGAGGCAGCAGUGGGGAAUUUUCCGCAAUGGGCGCAAGCCUGACGGAGCAAUACCGCGUGAGGGAGGAAGGCUUUUGGGUUGUAAACCUCUUUUCUCAAGGAAGAAGACCUGACGGUACUUGAGGAAUCAGCAUCGGCUAACUCCGUGCCAGCAGCCGCCGCGGU